CAGCUGCAGUGUAUCACCAUUAGCCUCCAGACGGAGACUCUCCCACUUCUCAUUGGCUGUGGCUGAUUGCCUUAUUAGAAGGGCUGUGCCUACAGACGGUAUAAAAAGGCAGGUCAAGGCUGGGUAGGUGCUGUGUGGGGUCCUGGGGAUGUGGAUGUCCUGUUGACAAUGGUUGUGCCUCUGUGUAAUUGCUGUCUUUCCCUUUAUGAGCAUCAGGUAUGUUAUGAUAGAUGUGGUGUACGUGUGGGUUACUGUCAAACUUAGCAGGACUAUUUUGUCUCCUUUAGAUAUUAUUUCUAGCCAUUCUGACUGGGGCCAGGCUCUUUGCAGUGGAGAGCAGUGACAAGGUAAGUGGUGACAGGCAAAAGCUCAAAGGUAGGAAGCUGUAUAUGAACUUCUGCAAGGACUUGUUUCCUAGGAGGACAAUAGACCACUGGAACAGGCUGCUCAAAAAGGUCAUGGAGUUUUUUUCUCAAGAGCUAUUCAAAACAAGCCUGGAUGUUUUUCCUGGGUGAUCUGCCGCAGGGAUCCUGCUUUACAAGGUAAGUUGAACUUGAUCUCUAGAGGUCCUCUCCAACCACCAUGAUUGUACCUGGGAGGAGGAUAUGUUGGUGACUUGCAUUCCUCCCUAGCUGGGGAGGUUAGCAAGUGAUAAGGUGUGGGUUACAAUUUGUUCUAGUGGCUUUUGUUUGGGGUGACUUUCAGGGUUUUCAUGAGACUUGGGAAGAAAUGGGGUGGCUACUGUUGAUGGGGAGGGUACGUAUUUUGUGUGGUUAGACUUCACUGUGGUUGCAUGGUUUACUUUCCUGAGAUGGACUUGUCUGUACUGGCCUGAUGGGGAUUACUUGCUGCACUGGAGCUGGUGUAGGGAUUGCCUUGAGAGGUGCUUGGGACUGUUCAGGGGUUUCUGAGAAUACUGAACUGUGGAAUACUGUUUUUUUGAGAGCUAGAGAAACCCCUGAAGUUCUUUCCUUCCUGGGAGAUACUUGAAGAAGAGCAUGGCCAUUGUCUAUCAGUAUUCCUGGUCGACUGGAGACUUGCCAACGUGACUCCUAUCCACAAGAAGGGUGGUAAGGAGGAUCUGGGGAACUACAGGCCUGUCAGUCUGACCUCGGUGCCAGGGAAGGUUAUGGAGUAGAUUGUCUUGAGAAAGCUCACACGGCAUGUGUGACACAACCAGGGGAUCAGGCCUAGCUAGCAUGGGUUUGUGAAGGGCGGGUCUUGCUUGACCAACCUAAUCUCCUUCUACAAUCUAAUGACCCAUCUGGUGGAUGAGGGGAAGGCUGUUGAUGUGAUCUACCUUGACUUCAGCAAAGCUUUCAACGCUGUCUCCCAUGGUACUCUCCUGGAGAAGUUGGCAGCCCGUGGCUUGGACACUUACACUUUUUGCUGGGUUUCUUUUUGCAGGUAGGAGCCAUAACAAAAACCUUACCUGACAUCUGGGCAAAUGCAGAUAAGGAAGAAUGAGGUAUGGUUUGAGGGAUGCACUGAUCUUGAGCUUGGAAGAAGUGACACUUAAACUCUGACCAGUUCUCUCGGACCAGUUAUCCUUCCAACACUCUAGCCCAAGGGAUAC